AGAGUUUGAUCCUGGCUCAGAUUGAACGCUGGCGGCAUGGCUAAAACAUGCAAGUCGAACGUGUGUAGCAAUACACAAGUGGCGAAAGGGUCAGUAAUGCGAUCGAAUGUACCCUGAGGUGGGGGAUAGCUACGGGAAACUGUAGGUAAUACCCCAUGAUCUCUCCGGAGCAAAGGUUUACCGCCUUGGGAGCAGCGAUCGUCCUAUCAGGUAGUUGGCGGGGGUAACGGGCCCACCCAAGCCGAAGACGGGUAGCGGGUGUGAGAGCACGGCCCGCGACAUCGGAACUGAGACACUGUCCGGACUUCUACGGAAGGCUGCAGUAACGAAUCUUCCGCAAUGGGCGAAAGCCUGACGGAGCAAUGCCGCGUGUGGGAUGAAGCGUCUCUGACGUGUAAACCACUGUCAGGGGUUGGAAACAAUGAUCGACCCCAAAGGAAGUGGCGACUAACUCUGUG
rnacentral:rRNA from 1 species